rnacentral:rRNA from 1 species
UACGUAGGGUGCAAGCGUUGUCCGGAAUUAUUGGGCGUAAAGAGCUCGUAGGCGGUUUGUCGCGUCUGCUGUGAAAACUGGAGGCUCAACCUCCAGCCUGCAGUGGGUACGGGCAGACUAGAGUGCGGUAGGGGAGAUUGGAAUUCCUGGUGUAGCGGUGGAAUGCGCAGAUAUCAGGAGGAACACCGAUGGCGAAGGCAGAUCUCUGGGCCGUAACUGACGCUGAGGAGCGAAAGCAUGGGGAGCAAACAGG